GUCCCCUUAGUUUAAUGGAUAGAACAAGGGCCUCCUAAGCUCUAGAUGUAGGUUCGAUUCCUACAGGGGACGUCA
rnacentral:tRNA from 1 species